CGAAGGGUGCAAGCGUUAUCCGGAUUCAUUGGGUUUAAAGGGUGCGUAGGCGGGGUGGUAAGUCAGUGGUGAAAUCCUGCAGCUAAACUGUAGAAUUGCCAUUGAUACUGCCAUUCUUGAGUACGCUGGAUGUGGGCGGAAUGUGCCGUGUAGCGGUGAAAUGCUUAGAUAUGGCACAGAACACCGAUAGCGAAGGCAGCUCACAACGGCGAAACUGACGCUGAGGCACGAAAGCGUGGGGAUCGAACAGGAUUAGAUACCCUGGUAGUCCACGCCGUAAACGAUGAUCACUCGUCAUUGGCGAUACACUGUCAGUGACCUAGCGAAAGCGUUAAGUGAUCCACCUGGGGAGUACGGCCGCAAGGCUG
rnacentral:rRNA from 1 species